AGUGAACGCUGGCGGUAGGCCUAACACAUUCAAUUCUAACGGCAGCACAGUAAUAUCUUGCUCUUACGUGUUUCUAGUUUCUUACUUUUUAGUAAUACAUCGGAAUCUACUUUUUCUUUGUUGAUAACGUAUUGAAACUUACGCUAAUACCGCAUACGACCUACGUGUGAAAGCAGGGGAUCUUCGUACCUUGCGCGAUUUAAUGAUCCGAUGUCGGAUUAGCUAGUUGGCGGGGUAAAGGCCCACCAAGGCGACGAUCCGUAGCUGGUCUGAGAGGAUGAUCAGAAAAACUGGAAAUGAGAAACGGUACAGAAGACUACGGGAGGAAGCAGUGGGGAAUAUUGGACAAUGGGCGCAAGAAUGAUACAGAAAUACCGAGUGGGUGAAGAAGGAAUUAGGGUUGUAAAACACUUUUGUUGGGAAAGAAAAGCAGAAGGUUAAUACACCGAUGUUCUGAAGGUAACCAAAGAAUAAGCACCGGAUAACUUCGUG
rnacentral:rRNA from 1 species